AUUGAACGCUGGCGGCAGGCCUAACACAUGCAAGUCGAGCGGAUGAAGGGAGCUUGCUCCUGGAUUCAGCGGCGGACGGGUGAGUAAUGCCUAGGAAUCUGCCUGGUAGUGGGGGAUAACGUCCGGAAACGGGCGCUAAUACCGCAUACGUCCUGAGGGAGAAAGUGGGGGAUCUUCGGACCUCACGCUAUCAGAUGAGCCUAGGUCGGAUUAGCUAGUUGGUGGGGUAAGGGCCUACCAAGGCGACGAUCCGUAACUGGUCUGAGAGGAUGAUCAGUCACACUGGAACUGAGACACGGUCCAGACUCCUACGGGAGGCAGCAGUGGGGAAUGUUGGACAAUGGGCGAAAGCCUGAUCCAGCCAUGCCGCGUGUGUGAAGAAGGUCUUCGGAUUGUAAAGCACUUUAAGUUGGGAGGAAGGGCAGUAAGUUAAUACCUUGCUGUUUUGACGUUACCAACAGAAUAAGCACCGGCUAACUUCGUG
rnacentral:rRNA from 1 species